UUGCUUAAGAGCUUGCUUUAUAUUUUCUACAGAAUAAGAAGACAUGACACCCACCCAAUAUACAUGCAGAUUUGGUACUGUAAUACAUGUAUUAUGGUUUUAAUUUGGUAAUUAAGGGUCGAUAUCUAAUCUCAAUUGAUUGAUUAAGUGAAAUGAAUCCUUUUCUUCGCCAAUCAGUGAUAAAACAGUGGCUGCAAUGUGACUGGAACUAAGCCCUGCUUCUUCCGUCUGAUCUUUCUGUGAUCCAUGAUCUAUGUGUCUGUCCGGGAGCACCAUAGGCCUCCACUUGAUAUUUCCAUCUAGUAACCCAUUCAAGGCCAAGAAAUGGGAGACAUGAGAGCUGAAACCUCCAAUGGAGCCUUCUUCAAUAGUGAUAAGGAUCUCAUGCUCUUGAACUAAUUCUCUAAUCAAUUCUCUAUCAAGAGGUUUGCAGAAUAUUGCAUCAGCAACUGUUACUGAGAUGCCUAGUUCUUGAAGGUGCUUUGCUGCUUGCAAACAGCUUUGUACUAUUGUUCCAUAUCCCAGAAAAGCAACCCUAUUACCCUUCCUUAGGAUUCUUCCCUUGCCAACCUCUAAUGGGGUACCCUUGUUGUUUGAUGGAAGAGGGGAGAAGCCAAUCCCAUUUCCUCUAGGGUACCUAAAG
rnacentral:misc_RNA from 1 species